UGUGCUUUGAAUGUCAAAGUGAAUAUAUUCAAUCAAUUGUAGGUAAAUUGGCAAGAGUGAUUAUGAUUCUUUUAAAGUAGUUAAAUGCCUCAUCAUCUAAUUAGUGACAUGUAUGAAU
rnacentral:ncRNA from 1 species